GAUGAAGAACGUAGCGAAAUGCGAUAAGUAAUGUGAAUUGCAGAAUUCAGUGAAUCAUCGAGUCUUUGAACGCACAUUGCGCCCCCUGGUAUUCCGGGGGGCAUGCCUGUCCGAGCGUCAUUGCUGCCCUCAAGCACGGCUUGUGUGUUGGGCCGUCGUCCCCCUCCUAGGGGACGGGCCCGAAAGGCAGCGGCGGCACCGCGUCCGGUCCUCGAGCGUAUGGGGCUUCGUCACCCGCUCCGUAGGCCCGGCCGGCGCUUGCCGACGACCAUCAAUCUCUUUCUCCAGGUUGACCUCGGAUCAGGUAGGGAUACCCGCUGAACUUAAGCAUAUCAAGCGGAGGA
rnacentral:misc_RNA from 1 species